rnacentral:misc_RNA from 1 species
UCCAACUUAACGUUGGCAGUCUCUUUAGAGUGCCCAACUGAAUGCUGGCAACUAAAGACAAGGGUUGCGCUCGUUGCGGGACUUAACCCAACAUCUCACGACACGAGCUGACGGCAGCCAUGCAGCACCUGUCACUCUGUCCCUUUCGGGCCUUACGUAUCUCUACGUCGUUCAGAGGAUGCCAAACCCAGGUAAGGUUCCUCGCGUUGCAUCGAAUUAAACCACAUGCUCCACCGCUUGUGCGGGCCCCCGUCAAUUUCUUUGAGUUUUAAUCUUGCGACCGUACUCCCCAGGCGGGAUACUUAAUGCGUUAGCUUCGGCACUGAAGGGGUCAAUACCUUCAACACCAAGUAUCCAUCGUUUACGGCGUGGACUAC